AAGGCAGUGGGGGGCGUGCUAUACAUGCAGUCGAACGAACUCUGGUAUUGAUUGGUGCUUGCAUCAUGAUUUACAUUUGAGUGAGUGGCGAACUGGUGAGUAACACGUGGGAAACCUGCCCAGAAGCGGGGGAUAACACCUGGAAACAGAUGCUAAUACCGCAUAACAACUUGGACCGCAUGGUCCGAGUUUGAAAGAUGGCUUCGGCUAUCACUUUUGGAUGGUCCCGCGGCGUAUUAGCUAGAUGGUGAGGUAACGGCUCACCAUGGCAAUGAUACGUAGCCGACCUGAGAGGGUAAUCGGCCACAUUGGGACUGAGACACGGCCCAAACUCCUACGGGAGGCAGCAGUAGGGAAUCUUCCACAAUGGACGAAAGUCUGAUGGAGCAACGCCGCGUGAGUGAAGAAGGGUUUCGGCUCGUAAAACUCUGUUGUUAAAGAAGAACAUAUCUGAGAGUAACUGUUCAGGUAUUGACGGUAUUUAACCAGAAAGCCACGGCUAACUACGUGCCAGCAGCCGCGGUAAUACGUAGGUGGCAAGCGUUGUCCGGAUUUAUUGGGCGUAAAGCGAGCGCAGGCGGUUUUUUAAGUCUGAUGUGAAAGCCUUCGGCUCAACCGAAGAAGUGCAUCGGAAACUGGGAAACUUGAGUGCAGAAGAGGACAGUGGAACUCCAUGUGUAGCGGUGAAAUGCGUAGAUAUAUGGAAGAACACCAGUGGCGAAGGCGGCUGUCUGGUCUGUAACUGACGCUGAGGCUCGAAAGUAUGGGUAGCAAACAGGAUUAGAUACCCUGGUAGUCCAUACCGUAAACGAUGAAUGCUAAGUGUUGGAGGGUUUCCGCCCUUCAGUGCUGCAGCUAACGCAUUAAGCAUUCCGCCUGGGGAGUACGGCCGCAAGGCUGAAACUCAAAGGAAUUGACGGGGGCCCGCACAAGC
rnacentral:rRNA from 1 species